rnacentral:tRNA from 1 species
AUUUUCUUAGUAUUAAUUAGUACAGCUGACUUCCAAUCAACUAGACCUGGUUAAACCCAGGAGAAAGUA